GCACGGAUGGCCGAGUGGUCUAAGGCGCCAGACUCAAGCGAUGCAAGCUUGGCACGAGUUCAGUGCCUCCUGGGUGUUCUGGUACCCGUAUGGGUGCGUGGGUUCGAACCCCACUCCGUGCA
rnacentral:tRNA from 1 species